rnacentral:tRNA from 1 species
AAUUAAUGAGCUUGAUAUAAGCUUAUGCUUUGAAAGCAUAAGAUAAUAGUAUAAUCUAUUAUUAAUUU